rnacentral:piRNA from 1 species
UACGGUUUUCGGUCAAGUCACACUUGG